GGAGUCGGCUUGAGAUUCUUGCUCUCCCUCUGCCCCUCCCCCCAACUCACGGGCAGGUGCACUCUCUCUUCCUCCUUCUCUCUAAAAAUAAAUAAAUAAAUCUUAAAAAAAAAAAAACAAAAACGCAAACCUUGUUAGAUACCUGCACGGCGGGUGUGCGUGUGGUGAGGGCUGCUCAGAAGCUGCAGAGGACGGACCAUGGGAGGCUGUCCCCAGGAAGCGGUGGCAUUCGGGCUGGGACUGGAAGCUGAACGUGGAAAAAACAUGAAGUGAGCCGCAACCAUUGCUGAAAUAACCUCAAAAUCUUGGAAGCCCAACAGAAAAAAGUAGGUUCCACGCCCUUUGUGGGGCUCAAACUCACAACCCUGAGAUCAAGGGUCUGAUGCGCUAUCGGAUGAGCCAGCCAGGCCCUGCACACAUGUUUGAAUCACUGUUCGUGGAACCAGGACCUUUUCU